rnacentral:lncRNA from 1 species
GUAGAUAAUAUUGGGUGACACACCUCUGCAUGUGACCUAUUAUUAUUAUUGACAAAGUGGCAUAGUAAAGGUGUUAUUACAGUUGAAGCCUGAUGUCAGUGCUAUGGACUGCACUGUGUUGUGUGAAGAUAACCUGGCUACUGCGAAAUUCUGUCCAUGUGGAUAUAACUGGAUAUGUGAGGAAUAUUCCAGAAUUAAGCUUAAAAGGUCCUCAAGUAUGAACAGCCUGUAACUAGCAAAAGUGGAUUUGAAUCUCAAAAGCUGGACGAGAAGAACCUCUUGAAGGUAGCAAAGCAAUUAGAAAGUAAAUUACAGCAUGUUGGUGAGUAUAAAAUAACAGUACAUAGUUGAUUUUAAUAAAUUUUACUUUUAACUGAGCUUUUGUUUGCCUGACUGACUGAGAACAGGUUCCAUUCUUAUUUCCCAGUUGAAAGGUUAGCUGUAAAGUAAUUCUACUAAAGACGUUUAUAUAAUUGAAAUUUGGUAAGAUAUCUUCCAAGGUUAGCAUAGCUGGUGAUAUGGAUAAAUUAGAAGACACAGUGUGAUGCAUAUUGUCUUCAGGAUCAGGGGAACAGAAAUAUGCUGGGGAAGGUUUAGCAGGUCAAUUAAUGGCCAUGUUUUUGUUUUCACUUUUGUUUACCAAAUUUACUGAUUGGUUAUUGUGUUUCGCUAGAAGUCAGCUGUUAUUUAGCAGACUUAUGAUAAAAACUGUUAACACCCUAUUGUUUUUCUAUGUUCAGAGGAGCCUUGACCACAUUAUUUGAACAUAUCCUUUCUUUCGGGCAGUAGGAUUUCAUUUUAGAGAAUCUUGGUUGCUGUCUUAAGCAACUUGAUUGACCAAGUGAUGGCUUCUUAAUUGUUUUAGCUGUCACAGAGUGGUGGAGUUUUUUCUAGAUUUGAUGAUGUGUGGUUUGAGAAAUCUCUCUCUCUC